AAUCUGAGGACAUCGUAGGUCACAUCAGAAUGACCUUUGGUCCUCCCCGCCAUUACACAGAUACCUGAGGACAUCGUAGGUCUCAUUAGAAUGACCUUUUGUCCUCCCUACCAUUACACAGAUACCUGAGGACAUCGUAGGUCGCAUCAGAAUGACCUUUUGUCCUCCCUACCAUUACACAGAUACCUGAGAACAUCGUAGGUCUCAUUAGAAUGACCUUUGGUCCUCCCCGCCAUUACACAGAAAUCUGAGGACAUCGUAGGUCACAUCAGAAUGACCUUUGGUCCUCCUCGCCAUUACACAGAAACCUGAGGACAUCGUAGGUCUCAUUAGAAUGACCUUUUGUCCUCCCUACCAUUACACAGAUACCUGAGGACAUCGUAGGUCUCAUUAGAAUGACCUUUCAUGAAAUUAGCUGAACUAAUGAAGAACUAGCAAAACCCUGAAAGCAGCCUAUAAUAACGAGAUUUCUCAGGCUCCACGGCACAAGUAUCAGACCAAUUGCAUGAACAUCUCCUUGCAGCUGAGUGCAUUGACGAGGUGUGUAUCACAGUAUACCAUGAAUACAGACAUUGUAAAAUAUUUAGUGUUUGACUAACUUAUUUCUGUUUUAGAAUAUGUUGUAAUGUUAUAAAUUAUAUUAAUAUGAGAUUACAGUUUUAUGAUCUGCCUGUUGAGAAAGAAUUAUUUUUGAUAGUUUGAUAAAUCAUGAAAUAUUUACAGCUGUAUUGUUGGUGAACCUUUGUUGAUUGGUUCUGGAUAGUUAGCUAGAAUGUUUGCUGUGUCUCAGUUUCCAUGAAAACACUGCUGACAUUUGUUUUCCACUGUUUCUGUCUUGUUCUGUCGUGUUGUUCAUCAUGUGGGUUGUACUGAAAUUAUUGUAUCUUGGAAUAAAUUAUGGUUAGAAGA